CGGGGCGAAGCCAGAGGAAACUCUGGUGGAGGCCCGCAGUGAUACUGACGUGUAAGUCGUUCGUCUG
rnacentral:ncRNA from 1 species